rnacentral:rRNA from 1 species
GUAGGUGGCAAGCGUUGUCCGGAAUUAUUGGGCGUAAAGCGCGCGCAGGCGGUUCUUUAAGUCUGAUGUGAAAGCCCACGGCUCAACCGUGGAGGGUCAUUGGAAACUGGAGAACUUGAGUACAGAAGAGGAAAGCGGAAUUCCACGUGUAGCGGUGAAAUGCGUAGAGAUGUGGAGGAACACCAGUGGCGAAGGCGGCCUUCUGGUCUGUAACUGACGCUGAGGCGCGAAAGCGUGGGGAGCAAACAGGACUAGAUACCCUGGUAGUCCACGCCGUGAACGAUGAGUGCUAAGUGUUAGGGGGUUUCCGCCCCUUAGUGCUGCAGCUAACGCAUUAAGCACUCCGCCUGGGAGUACGGCCGCAAGGCUG